GACAGAGGGUGCAAACGUUGUUCGGAAUUACUGGGCGUAAAGCGCGUGUAGGCAGCGACUGCAAGUCGGGUGUGAAAGCCCUGGGCUCAACCUAGGAAGUGCACUCGAAACUGCAGGGCUUGAGUUCUGGAGAGGAAGGCGGAAUUCUCGGUGUAGAGGUGAAAUUCGUAGAUAUCGAGAGGAACAUCGGUGGCGAAGGCGGCCUUCUGGACAGUGACUGACGCUGAGACGUGAAAGCGUGGGGAGCAAACAGG
rnacentral:rRNA from 1 species